rnacentral:rRNA from 1 species
CCUACGGGGGGCAGCAGUGGGGGAUAUUGCACAAUGGGGGAAACCCUGAUGCAGCGACGCCGCGUGUGGGAAGACGGUCCUCUGGAUUGUAAACCACUGUCCCCAGGGACGAAGAUGACGGUACCUGGGGAGGAAGCUCCGGCUAACUACGUGCCAGCAGCCGCGGUAAUACGUAGGGAGCGAGCGUUGUACGGAAUUACUGGGGGUAACGGGAGCGUAGGCGGGACUGCAAGUUGGGGGUCAAAUCUACCGGCUCAACCGGUAGCCGCAAGCAAAACUGCAGUUCUUGAGUUAAGUAGAGGCAGGCGGAAUUCCUGGUGUAGCGGUGAAAUGCGUAGAUAUUAGGAGGAACACCAGUGGCGAAGGCGGCCUGCUGGGCUUUUACUGACGCUGAGGCUCGAAAGUGUGGGGAGCAAACAGGAGUAGAUACCCGUGUAGUC